rnacentral:misc_RNA from 1 species
CGUCAUUUCAACCCCUCCGGACACCCCGCGCCCUCGUGGUGCGUGUGUGUGCUCCGGGUGUUGGGGCACUGCCGUGCUUUGUGCUUUGGCACGACGGCAGGCCCUCAAAUGCAGUGGCGAGCCCGCUGGCACACCUCCGAGCGCAGUAACCUACACCUCUCGCUUCUG